rnacentral:lncRNA from 1 species
UCGGUGCCUGGCCAAUUCUACGAGUGGGUCAUGUGCCACUGUGACACAUAAGCCUUAUGCUACUACUAAAUGGUAGACCUUAAGUAAACUCAUCUUUGUUUGUGUGGAUUUGUGGACUUUGAUUAUGCUCAGUAGCGUACGACAUCAUGGCCUCCUACUUCGUCUAUUCAUAACAAAUUACAAGAGAACUACGAAGAAAACAACUUCGCCUUUAGACAACAAACGCGCAUAUCGAAAGCAAGCCACGUGUCUUCACGUACUCCAAUAUAAUGACGCAAUCGGGGGCCUCAUUGCAAGAACAUUAAAGCUGCGAGCAACGUGCAAACGUUUAGUAAUCAUCCCCUAUUCCAUGAGGCAGAAAUCGAACAUCGGGAACGCUCUAAAGCAUUGCAGUGAUUGUUUUACGCACGUGAAAGUACGAGCCCUGCACGCGUGAGUCACCCAGCCAUCGACGUCAGUUUGAGAAGCCUCGAGCGCCAGAGACUGCCUCCAUUUGGUACUUUCUUUUCUUUUUAUCUAGCCACCUCAGACAGCGCACGCCUUGCAAGCGCAACUCAGCGGACGAGGUCGCAACACAAGGUGAAUUCCCGAUCGCCUUCACGUACGCAACUGAAACCGUGUGCACUGCUACGUCGCCGCCAGCAUAUGCGCUUUUUUUUUACUAGAUCGAGCGAACGCCCUUUCAUUCAAGGUUACCGGGUAUGAGUCACGUUUUGUUUUUAUUUACCGCUGCGGGCGCGCGAACGUUCCAGAACAAUUUCUCGUAUCGUAUACGUGGACGGCCGAUGCACUCGCACGUCGAGGCUACUCCACAACCGUCUGUUUUGCAGCGCGCCCUGCACCGUCGGCAAGCAAACGCCGUCACUGACGUUCACAAAACCAAGAGUUUUGAAAUAAACUAAAAUCGGAAAAGUCGGCGCACCGCCGACGUCGACGAACGGCGCUGGGCGAGCCAAACGAGCCCGGGCAAGCUCGCCGCGGAGCUUAUCGGCGCCGGCGCCAGGUGGCGAGCGGCGCGUUUGCUCUCAUUUUGCGCUUUGUGUGUUGUUUUGACUGGUACGGUGACGUCAGCGCCGGGACGGCAACAUAAACGCUGCGGCGCGGGCCUGCCUCUGCGUCUAUUGGAGAACCGUCUCUGAGAGGAGGCAAACGUCUCUGCGUUCCAACUUGAGCCUGCGACUCACUCGUUCGUUGCCUGCCCGCUGCUGGGUUUUCUGCACGUUUUCGUUCUUUUAUCGAGUACCCGUUGCUGGAAGCAAGUAAUUCGAGAUGUCUGAGAGCCACUUCGACGAGUACGAGCACUACAACUUCGACCACGACAAGUUCCUGUAUGCGGGCCACAGCGGCAAACAGAGGUCGAAGAAGGAAGCUUCGGAGCACACCAACCACCACGACCCGAGCGGACACGUCCGUAAACUAGUCACGAAAAUGGCCAACACCGAGAGGAACCGCAGGAACUCUGGCGGCAACCGGCAUUGAAGUCUGGUCGUGUGUGGCAUCGGUGCCGGGCUGACAUCACCCACCUGGGCACGGUCUCGUGUGCCACAUCUAAUUUAUGGUACAACAACGGAACAUCGGACGUCGACUGUGAUCUUUACAAAUACCUUGGACAUUGCGUACUCACCGAGGGCGGUGCGUGUGCACAGACUGUUGCCUUUCCUCCCUGGCCCUCUUUCUGUGAUGUCUCGUCGCUUGCUUUGACGCGCGGUGUGUGUUUCAUCUAUCCUCAUAAGUGUCGACGGUGGCCGGCUUACGUCCUAAAAUAUUACGGCUGUCUGUCGGAAAGCCCAUUCAGGCUACUUGUCUUGGCUUUUUUUUUUUUUUUCGCUUUCAUAUUUAUCUUGCACUGUCGUGUCGUAGAGAAAAAUAAGAGGGCAACUCGUUAUGAAGAUAUCGUACGAGUAUAGGGUAUCACAACUAAAUAAAGUGUUAUGGCACUUA